rnacentral:rRNA from 1 species
AGAACGAACGCUGGCGGCAGGCCUAACACAUGCAAGUCGAACGCCUCAGCAAUGGGGAGUGGCAGACGGGUGAGUAACACGUGGGAACGUACCCUUCGGUUCGGGAUAACUCAGGGAAACUUGAGCUAAUACCGGAUACGUCCGAGAGGAGAAAGGUUUACUGCCGAAGGAUCGGCCCGCGUCUGAUUAGCUAGUUGGUGAGGUAAUGGCUCACCAAGGCGACGAUCAGUAGCUGGUCUGAGAGGAUGAUCAGCCACAUUGGGACUGAGACACGGCCCAAACUCCUACGGGAGGCAGCAGUGGGGAAUAUUGGACAAUGGGCGCAAGCCUGAUCCAGCCAUGCCGCGUGAGUGAUGAAGGCCCUAGGGUUGUAAAGCUCUUUUACCUGGGAAGAUAAUGACUGUACCAGGAGAAUAAGCCCCGGCUAACUUCGUGCCAGCAGCCGC